CCUACGGGUGGCAGCAGUGAGGAAUAUUGGUCAAUGGGCGGAAGCCUGAACCAGCCAAGUAGCGUGCAGGAUGACGGCCCUACGGGUUGUAAACUGCUGUUAUACGGGAAUAACGCGCCUUACGUGUAGGGCUUUGCAUGUACCGUAUGAAUAAGGACCGGCUAAUUCCGUGCCAGCAGCCGCGGUAAUACGGAAGGUCCGGGCGUUAUCCGGAGUUAUUGGGUUUAAAGGGAGCGUAGGCCGGAUGCCAAGCGUGCGGUGAAAUGUCCGGGCUCAACCCGGGCCUUGCAGCGCGAACUGGCGUGCUAGAGUCCGCGGAAAGCAGGCGGAAUUCGUCGUGUAGCAGUGAAAUGCUUAGAUAUGGCGAAGAACCCCGAUUGCGAAGGCAGCUUGCUGCAGCGGAACUGACGCUGAUGCUCGAAAGCGCGGGUAUCGAACAGGAUUAGAUACCCGAGUAGUC
rnacentral:rRNA from 1 species